GGAGUGUCUCUGCUCACACCACACACGUGCUGCUGCUCAGAGCUGUGCGUUUACUAUGGCCCGGAUGGAGCUGCGCAGCUCCUCGCUGAUGUCGGCGGCAGCGCAGAGCUCCAUGAUCUUCGCAGCCUGGCUCAGGACGUACGCGGGAGGCUGCAUUUUGUUCCACUGCUCACUGGAAGGAAAGCUGAUGCAUCCCCGCAUGCUGUUGAAGAGCUGCAGGAUCCUGACCCGGAAGGCAUGCAGCAGGAGCUCGUCCCUGCCCAGCCGGGCUGGGGCAGGCGGCCCCCCGGCAGCACCGACCUGCGGAGAGGAGGGAACGUGUCAGUAGAGCCACCGCAGCCUGGGACACGGGGCUUCCUUCCCCUCCCAGCCCCUGGGACAGGAGCCUGUGGAGGAAGAGAGUUGCCAUGGACCCUGCCCACAUGGACCACAGCUCUUCUCCAUGGCAGAGCCAGGGUGACACCUGGGGACACAGCCAGGGACACCAAGGACCCAGAAGUGCUUCCCACACUGACUCCUUGCAGAGAGCCGUGGCUGGCAGGUGCCCUGUCUGCGUGGGACUGGCAGGGGUACAACACUGCUUGCUUUUUGAGGGGCAGGAGCAUGGGGCAACAUGGGAAUUAGCAUGCUUCCCUAUGGAGAGGAGAUUCCCUGGCUGCCCCACUCCCGAUGUGGGGAGCAGCUCUGCAUGGAGAAAUACCUGCACUUUGGUCCCCAUGUUGAACUUUGCCUGUCGCCCCAUGGCGAGGAAGGAGAUGAUGAUCUUGUCCUGGGCCAGAAUCCUGACCCCCACGUGCCGGUUCAAGGAGAUGAAGAUGGGGCUCAGUGGGACAUGGGGUCCUGGUGACAUGUUUGGCCACGUCCACCUUUUCACCCUGCUGCCUGCUUGGUCCAAAUACUGCCCUCCUUGGAUACUCAUGUUUAUCCUAAAAGAGAGGGAAGUGGAAACUGAACCCUGCAGCUCCCAUGGCAGAAUGUCCCUCAUUCCCCUCAAGGGUCAGGACAGAGGCACAGCAGGGUCAGGGUCUGUUCCCCGCCUCCCAAGGCAUAGCUGGGGUCGCCUUGCUGCUCUGGGGGGCACCCGAAGCAGGGCCUAUGAGCUGCUGGAUUUGUCAAUUUUUGGAUGCUAUUAAAAAUACCCUUUGUGGCCUUUGCAAAGCCAGUGGAGAGCACAGCUGCUGAACGCACCACUCAUCUCCGUUGGGGUAAUAGCACGUGCUCCUGCCGUCGGACUGGAACAGCGCGCGGAUUUUGGCAGUCCUCGGCUCGUCUUCCUGUACUGUGCAAAUCAUCUGGUCUCCCUCUCGUGUAACCAUGAUGGCCAGGUUUCCAGAUGGAUAGCUUCUGCCAGGUUAGGUUCUGUGCAUCUCAGCUGGAAACCUCACAUAUAAAUACUGAAAGUCAUGGCAAGGAGGCCCUGUCUGUGCAAGGGGGAUGUGCCUGCUUUUGUGUUCUCCCGGGAGGGAUGGUUUAGUACAGCUGGAUCUGUAUCUAAUUUAAUGGGAUUGCACACCUGACAAUGAACAAACGCGUUGCUCUAUAAGAUCCUCCUGUUCAGUUAGACACCAGCAAUUCCACUGAAUACAUUGUUGUGAUAAAUGGACAAAUAAAUCCAUAAGAAAUGCCAACUCACCUUCAGUGGCAGUCGGCUCCAAAGACAGGACGGGUGACCCUCUAGACAGAUGGCUCUCCUGCUGCCUGGAAAACAGAAGUGUUCCUGAUAGACAUUUCAUGUAUCCUGUUUGGAAGGCUGGAAGUACUGGAUAUCCCUGCCUUAGGAACACAACUUUCUGAACCUGUUUUUCUCUCCACUCACACAAUUGCAAGUAAUAGAGGCAGCAGAGUAUCACUAAAAUACUCAUAUCUCAGGAGAAAAGAAUUGCUCCCACACAGAUUCCAGUGAACAGACUCUGUCAUUGCAGUGGCAUCAGUUCUGCUGGCAGGAGAGCUGAACAUUGUAAACAGGUUUGGAUCAAGAUUUUAUGUGAAAGAGGAGAGCUGCCCACAAGAAAACAGCUCAUCUCCAGCAAUAUUUUCCCUAUUCUUGUGUAGCUUCCUAUAAAUCUGACUGUGACAGUGGUUUGGUGCGUGCUCUGUACGUAGUAGGAGGCACUUGCACUCUCAGGCUGAGAAGGAUCUUCAGGGAAACCAAGUUUACUUCCAGGUGUACUGGUUUACUUUUCCUUGAGCCUGUACUGGAGGCUUAGACUCUUGCACAAGGUUUGGGCCGAGAACUUGAAGAGUUCUUGUGACGGGAAAUUGGAAUCCAAACAUAUGCCAGAGUUUAUGGAGCAAAACAGAAAUAAAAACUCCAGCUUUGUUUCAGUGCCUGAGGUAAAAGCUACACCCAAAUACUGUCCCUUCCCAGAGCUGUGUCUGUGCUCUUGUCUCUGUCUGUCUCUAGAUAUUUCAUCUGUUAGCACAGGAAUUAGCACUUCACUCAGCACGUACCUUGUCUCCUCCUUGUGCAGUCCAGUUACAGAGGAGUCAGGGGGGACUGGAGAGAAUCCGAACUCGUGGUGCCUGAAACAAAGGAUGAACUCAUAGAGGUCUCGGUGGCUCUUGCAGCAGAAUCUCUGCAAGGUGGAAGAGCGGAGCCUUGAGUGCAGCUGUUCCACAGCAAAUCCCUGCUCGUCCUUCCCUCAGCUUACGUAUUCCAUGUCCUUGGAGAAAGGGACAUCCUCAAGGACAGGGACAUCCUCAAGGAAAGGGACAUCCUCGGGGAAAGGGAAUGGCCUCAGCAGGCUGCCGCAGUACUCACAUCUCGGCUCAGUGUCCUCCUCUGCCUGCAGUGACAUGGGGAGAGUGGGGAGGAGGGACAGGGGGGACCAGCCCCCAGAUCCCCCUGUUAGUGUGAGGAAAGAGGGCUCUGCUCAAAAUGCAACAUGACAAAGCGCCCAAGGGUGGUUACAACUCAUCUAUGUCUGGGAUAUCUUGGAAUGAUUUAACUCAAAAUAUUGAGUUCAGGAAACGACCAAAAAGAAAAGCAGAUCUGUGGUAAAUAAAUAAAUA